UGCAGCUGUAAGGCAAUGGGUCUGAAAUAGGAGAUUAUCCUGCACAAUCAAACCAGAUGAGCUCUGAAAAGCAAAGAACUUUCUCUGGCUGAAGCAAGAGAGGUGCAGCAGUACGGUCAUCCAGAGAGACUUCCAGCAAGAGGGUCUGGGUGCUGUGGCUGGCACUGAGCUGGGGACCUGGGCCCAGGGGCCCAGGAGAGGCCUCAGGAGUUAAAGUGGCUCCCAGCUGACAGCCAGCAGGAGGUAGGGCCUCAACCUACCCCCCGGGGACUGAAUUCAGCCAAUCCCCUGCAAGUCCUGGCAGUGGAGCCCCGGGCAGGAGCAGGACCCCGCUGAUGCCUGGCGAGCCCAUGAGAGACAAGAAGACCAGAGCCAUGAGUGAUUUUCCAGGAUGGGCCCGCCAGGCACCCAGGGCUGAGACCCCGUGGCAGGGGUCCACACCCCGCCCCCCAGCUGUCUCUCCAUUCACCUCUGCAUCUCAGAUCUCAAUGCCAGGCCCGUGUAGGGCUCUGAAGGCCCCUCCACACCCCUUCCAGCCCCCUGCCCACCUUCGUGGUGGCCACAAGCUCCAGGAUCCAAGAUGUUUGACCUUCUUGGGCGAAACUAAUAAGUCAAGAAGGGCUGGCUGCACCGUCCUCACGCCCAGGUGCACUUAGCACAUAGAG